GAUGAACGCUAGCGGCAGGCUUAAUACAUGCAAGUCGAGGGGUAACAUGGGUAGCAAUACCUGAUGACGACCGGCAAACGGGUGCGGAACACGUACGCAACCUUCCCAAAACUGGUGAAUAGCCCUCCGAAAGGAGGAUUAAUACACCGUAAGAUAAAGAAGAGGCAUCUCUUUUUAUUAUAGUAGCAAUACGGUUUUGGUAUGGGCGUGCGCCUGAUUAGGUAGUUGGUGAGGGAACGGCCCACCAAGCCUACGAUCAGUAACUGGUGUGAGAGCACGACCGA
rnacentral:rRNA from 1 species